UGGGGAAUUUUGGACAAUGGGCGCAAGCCUGAUCCAGCCAUGCCGCGUGCGGGAAGAAGGCCUUCGGGUUGUAAACCGCUUUUGUCAGGGAAGAAAUCUUCUGAGUUAAUACCUCGGGAGGAUGACGGUACCUGAAGAAUAAGCACCGGCUAACUACGUGCCAGCAGCCGCGGUAAUACGUAGGGUGCAAGCGUUAAUCGGAAUUACUGGGCGUAAAGCGUGCGCAGGCGGUUUUGUAAGACAGAGGUGAAAUCCCCGGGCUCAACCUGGGAACUGCCUUUGUGACUGCAAGGCUUGAGUGCGGCAGAGGGGGAUGGAAUUCCGCGUGUAGCAGUGAAAUGCGUAGAUAUGCGGAGGAACACCGAUGGCGAAGGCAAUCCCCUGGGCCUGCACUGACGCUCAUGCACGAAAGCGUGGGGAGCAAAACAGGAUUAGAUACCCUGGUAGUCCACGCCCUAAAACGAUGUCAACUGGUUGUUGGGAAGGUUCCUUCUCAGUAACGUAGCUAACGCAUGAAGUUGACCGCCUGGGGAGUAACGGCCGCAAGGUUGAAACUCAAAU
rnacentral:rRNA from 1 species